UCUAUGCAGCCUUUAAGAAUGACAAAUAAUAAUAGAAAUAAUUACAAUUAACACUUCUUGAGGGCACACUAUGAAUCAGGCUCAGUUCUGAGUUUUACAUGUAACAAUUUCUUUAUUCCUCAGAGCAUCCCCAUUUCACACAGGAGAAAAUCAAGACACAGAGAGUUUGAUGAAGUUUUGUAAGGUCAUGCAGCCAGGAAGACACUUAUGACAUCUACAUAUUUUUAAGAGAAAAAAGAGUUACAGUGGAGGUCAUCCAUCUGAUUCGUUCUAGGAGAUGUAGAACUUCACAAAAAGCCUUUGAAGUCUCCUUUCCUGCCUUCUAUCAUUUCCUGCCCCUAAAUUCCAAGAAAAGGUAGGUGCAGAAACACAUGGAAAAAUGUGAUGGUGAAUUAAUAUUUACAAAAAUGUGAGCAUGUGUUCAAAACAGAUUCUGUUUUUUUCGGAUCAUACAUAUUUUCUGUGAAUUCAAGUUGUAACACUUAUUUGCAAUUUUACCAACCUUUAUAUAAACUGAAAUAACUAUAUGGAAAUUGAAUCAUCACCCAGACAGGAAAGGAUAAAAAGUUAUGAAAUGGAUGCAAAAUUUACUUAACCUGAUACUUAAUUUGUUUAUAAAAAUAAGACUUGC
rnacentral:lncRNA from 1 species